GAAUGACUGUUGAGAGAGUCUAUCAGCUUCACACUGGAUCACUCUCUCACCAAGAAUCCAUGUGUCCAUUCUGUAGUAACAUAAAGUAUGUCGUCAUAGUUUAGAUGGCCUACACAUUUAUUUAGUUUCUUUAAUUAGAAGUAGGUAGGUCAUGUAUUCAUUGUUUACAAAUAUAUAUAUCUUAUUUAGGUUUAGGUGUCCCUUUUCUGACCACAGGCACUGAAUGCCAUGUCUGGCAGCACAGACAGCCUGGGAACACUGAGGGGAAGUCCGGACCCCUCCCCCACCUCGCCCACCCCCCCCACCUCCAUCUUCACCUCACCCUCUUCUGCGCGUGACCCGGCCCGGCCCCCUGCAGCGCCCUCGGGCGAGCGGAGCUCCGAGACCCCCCCGGUGCUCUCCGGGUGUCCCUCCGUGGACGUGGCGGCUGCUGAAGACGCCGCUGAGUUCCGAGAGAAUGCCAGUGCCAUGGGAGCUUCCCAAUGCUGUCAAAACUCUGAAGGUGUUCCGUGUGCGGACGUUGAUUAUGGCAGCUCUGCCGAGGAGGACGUGGUGUCUGAUGGGAUCACCGUGAUGACAGAGAGUUCUGGCCAGCGACGGGGAGAACCACCUUUAUCUGAACUGGACAAUGUGCAAGAGCAGCAUGUCAGAGAAGGUGCAAUCAGUAAGGACAUUGUUGUUGAGUCAAGUGUGUGUGAAGAAGGUGUUAGUGUGCGUGGUGAACAUUUGACUGGUGAAGUCACCAUUUGUGAUGAAGUAGUAAGUGUAACAGUGAGUGUAAAGGCAGUAAAAGAGGUUGCGAUGAGUGAAGUAUGCAGUAUGGCUGAAGAGGAGGCCCUUAAACGUGUGGUUGGUGAGCGUGCUGUGAGCGAGUGUGUGCUGUGGAAAGAUGUGGCUAGUGAAAGAGCAGUCAGUGAGAACACUGCAAGCCAAUGUGCUGCUGAGGCUGUUGCUGGCGCUGCUGGCUGGCAUGUGGUUAGCAAAGGUGAGAAUGUUAGCAAUCACACGAUUGGUGCAGAUGCAACUGUAGACUGUGCACUGAGCAAAAAUGAACUCAAGGAUUAUCAAAGCACUGCACUUUGUUGUAGAGUGCAGGGAAUUGCUGAACAUACUGUUAAUGAAUGUGGCACCAUCAUCUCUUCACGGUGCGGCAUAGCAGUGGAGAGUAUCGCUCUUUCAGGUGAGCAUCAGGCCCCGGGUGAGGAAGGGUUAAGUUUUGAACACACUGACUCACAGGUGGAGGCCCAGUCGGAGGCCACUCGCACACCAAACCAAGACACUCAGGUGUCCUCCACAGAAGCAUCUCAACCGGCAGACUCUGAUGAACUUAAAGAGGGCACGCUAGUAGAAAGUGAUGGUGUCUUUGUCGAACCUUCUGGAACGGACAGAAAGCCUCGUCUUGCAGGGCGUUCGGUGACGGUGCAGAUGUGCUCGUCUUUGGCACCCAUUUCCCAGACUCUCCGCUCUAGUGACGUCACGCAGAGGCGGAACUCUUUCUCCAGGAGGGCGUGGUCUGAAGCAGAAGUUUCCCACACCCUCCCACAACGCAACUCACAGACUCUUGCCAUGGAAAUACCAGAACUGGCUUCUUCCAUUCACAUUUGGCAAUCCCAGGACAGUUCGCAGGGGUUUGGAAAGUUCCGGACGAGGUCAGCCUCCUUGGAUACGGGGUUGUCGUGGGAGGAUGGCGACGGGCGGUUGGACGGUGUGAUGAUGGCCGGCGGAGGGGGAGGGGCCUGUUUGUGCCAGUGCCAGUGCCCCUGCUGCUCCAGGCACGGCGCACACGUGCUCCAGUCAGACCCAUCCUCCAGUUUCCCAUAUUCUCUGGACGAGCUGGAGGAGAUGAUGCAGGGCGUGAAGAGGUUCCGCACCAUCCUGACGGAGAUUGAGCAGAGGCUGGACCACGAACAGGCCUCAGUGUAUGAGGAUCUCUCAGCCACUGACAGGGAGGAGGUGGGGGACGUGCUGGAGCUCAGGGCUGCGGUCAAACAGGAAGCACGGAAACUAGAGCUGCAGCUGACGGACCUGGUCCAUCACUACGACGACAGCUUCAAAAUGAAGAUCAACAGGCUUCUGGAUGAACAGUCUCAUCUCUGCUCUCAGCUGAGAAUACAUCCCUCAGGCAGGCCCCGCCCCUCAGACAGGCCCCGCCCAGAGCCCGCCUCCACCGAAAGUGUGGCCAUUCAGUGCAGCCUACUGCCUGUGACAGACACAGUAGACACACGCCUCUCUCCCCAUCACUCAAGUAACAGCACAAAGCAAGGCAAGCUGGACUUCGUAGGGUUCAUCCAAAAUCUGAAGAAUUCUGUCCACCAGUCCAUCAGUAAUGACUCACUGGAGUGAAGUUGACUACACUACAUGAUCUGCUGCCAACUCAAAGAUGUCUUCCUCUUGAACUAAUUUAUUCCUUCCAAUGAUUGCCUUCAUCCUGCGACUGCUUUUUUUGUUUUGUUUUUUAAUGAGGACAAGAGCGCAGUCUUCCCAGAAGGAGUCAGUUUUCAGCUCGAGUCCAAUAAAAG
ensembl:lncRNA